rnacentral:rRNA from 1 species
AGAGUUUGAUCCUGGCUCAGAGCGAACGCUGGCGGCGUGCCUAACACAUGCAAGUCGAACGUGAAAUGGGGCAACCCAAAGUAAAGUGGCGUACGGGUGAGUAACACGUAGGUAAUCUACCAAAGUGUCUGGAAUAACCUGCCGAAAGGCGGGCUAAUACUGGAUAGAGCGACGAAGUCCGUAAUGGGAUUUUUCGGGAA